rnacentral:rRNA from 1 species
UACGGAGGGAGCUAGCGUUGUUCGGAAUUACUGGGCGUAAAGGGCGCGUAGGCGGCCUUCUAAGUCGAACGUGAAAUCCCCGGGCUCAACCCGGGAACUGCGUCUGAUACUGGAUGGCUUGAGUUUGGGAGAGGGAUGCGGAAUUCCAGGUGUAGCGGUGAAAUGCGUAGAUAUCUGGAGGAACACCGGUGGCGAAGGCGGCAUCCUGGACCAACACUGACGCUGAGUGAGCGAAAGCCAGGGGAGCAAACGGG